UACGUAGGGUGCAAGCGUUAAUCGGAAUUACUGGGCGUAAAGCGUGCGCAGGCGGUUUUGUAAGUCUGUCGUGAAAGCCCCGGGCUCAACCUGGGAAUUGCGAUGGAGACUGCAAGGCUUGAAUCUGGCAGAGGGGGGUAGAAUUCCACGUGUAGCAGUGAAAUGCGUAGAGAUGUGGAGGAACACCGAUGGCGAAGGCAGCCCCCUGGGUCAAGAUUGACGCUCAUGCACGAAAGUGUGGGGAGCAAACCGG
rnacentral:rRNA from 1 species